CGGAACGCUNCCUUGCGGGGUGAGUGGCAGCACGGGNUGAGUAACGCGUGGGAAUCUACCCAUCUCUACGGGAUAGCUCCGGGUAAACUGGAAUUAAUNCCGUAUACGUCCUCCGGGAGAAAGAUUUAUCGGGGAUGGAUGANCCCGCGUUGGAUUANCUAGUUGGUGGGGUAAAAGCCUACCAAGGCCGACCAUCCAUAGCUGGUCUAAGAGGAUGAUCAGCCACAUUGG
rnacentral:rRNA from 1 species